rnacentral:rRNA from 3 species
AUUGACCUCGGAUCAG